rnacentral:rRNA from 1 species
UACGUAGGGUGCGAGCGUUGUCCGGAAUUAUUGGGCGUAAAGGGCUCGUAGGCGGUUUGUCGCGUCGGGAGUGAAAACCCAGGGCUUAACCCUGGGCUGGCUUCCGAUACGGGCAGACUAGAGGUAUGCAGGGGAGAACGGAAUUCCUGGUGUAGCGGUGAAAUGCGCAGAUAUCAGGAGGAACACCGGUGGCGAAGGCGGUUCUCGUGGCAUUACCUGACGCUGAGGAGCGAAAGUGUGGGAGCGAACAGG